rnacentral:lncRNA from 1 species
CUCGUAGCUACAAGAGUUGAUAUAUCAUAGGAAAUAGCUAGUUGUCCUAAGAGGAAGGAGUAAGCAAGUAGGAUACAUUUUGCCAGAAUAUUUUCUGUUGGGUUUAUUAAUCUGUUAAAUUCACAAAUUCACAGCAAUAGUGUGUAUGCUGUUACUUGUUUCAAAACAGGAAUAGUAUAACUUAGAACGUACUGAAACUUAAUCAUUUUUAAGUCAAAUAUAAAGUAAAAUAUAUUUACAGUGUUGAUUUAGUGUACUAGGUCUUAUUUUAUCUCUAAUUAAACAGUUUUUGUUACCCUUGUGGAAUAAUUUUGAUUUUAAAGUAAAUCUUUGUCUUUUAUCCUAGAGGUUAUUCUAUGACAUUUUUAUUUCUAUUUAAUGAUUGACUGUUAGAGA